CGUUUAUUAUAAUGAUGUUAGUGUUUUCAGCUAUAAAGAAUAAGGCAAAGGGACUGGCUGUAUAGUCAACAUUAAAUCCUGAUACAAGUUCUGAUUCUCCUUCUGUUAGAUCAAAUGGAGCUCGAUUAGUUUCUGCUAAUGUUGAAAUAAACCAUAUUAUUGCUAGAGGUGAUGUUUUUGGUAAACAGGCGAGGUUAAUGUUUGCCGAGUUCCUUUUACUUUUUUUAAUCUUUCCCUUAGUGCAUACCAGUGUUGGGUUAACAGUGUUGUUAUUAAUGGUUUUAUGAUUUAUUUAAUAUUAUGAUGUUGUUAACUAUCAGUGAAUUAUUCGAUCUAAGUUUAUGCAGGGAGAAUGUUUUCUUGUUACUCAUUUUAACAUAAUUUCUUCUAUUAGGAAAAUAUAUAGGUCCAGUGUUGGCUUAGGAGAUUAUUGAGAGUUAGGUAUUAAGUUUUGAAAACUAGGUUAAGCUUUAAUGCUUUUUWAAUUGAUGGCUGCUUUUAGGCCAACUAUGGAGGUUAAUAGGUUUACUCUCUAAAUUAAGGUUUAUUCCUUAACUCGAAAGAGCUGUCCCUCUUUAGAUUAACAUUUAAAUUUACAUUUGGCUUGCUUGUGCUUUAGGUAAAUUUAAAGUAGAACUAAAAUUCUAAUCUGGACAACCAGCUAUUACCAGGCUUGGUAGGCUUUUCACUUCUACUUAUAAGUCAUUCCACUAUUUUGCAACAUAGACGGAUGGGCUCUUAUUGGCUGCUCAUAAGUAGCUCCUCUGAUUUCAGGGUGUUUGGCUUAAAUUCUUUUUGUCAAGCAUUUUCUGGUUAAAUCAUUAUGCAAAAGGUAAAAGAGUUAAUCUUUGCUUUUUGAUACUAUAAAUUUGUUCUUUCAUCUUUCCCUUAAGGUACUGUCUCUAUAGCUCCUAAUGUAAAUUUCUAUCUCCUGUACUUUACUUUAGGUAAAUGUUUUAUUUAUUAAGUAAACUGUAUUUUAGUGGGGGAGGGGUUGGGCUAACAUUA
rnacentral:lncRNA from 1 species